UUUUAUAGCAAGAUAUUCACUUUCACUCGGGCAACCGAAUGAACUUGAAUGUACUGUAGUAGUCAUACAGGCGUUGUAAAAUUAUUAGAAAAUACUACCUCAGAUCACAAAACUCGAGCUUGGGACCAAUAUAUUGAGGACCGCGACGAAUAUGUGGAGAAAGAACUAAAAAUUAAAAACGAGACAGACAAUCAGACGAGGGUUUGAGAGCUUGUUGGAGGAAUAAGGACAGCCUAUGGUAGAAGUAAGAAAGUGAUUAACUUCCACCAACGAUCUCACGAAUAUUAUUAAAUUAUCUUGGUCAAAUGGACCAUUUCAGUCUCCUCUUUUUAAUCACUCGUCCACUUCUAGCGAUCACUUAAAACCGAUCAGUUGUGUUCUUAGCUAUCGGAAAGUGUUAAUAGAAAACCACGCUACAAAAGACAGUUGUCAUUGAAGGUUAAGUUCUCCCCAGUUGGUGUAAUAAAACCAAAGAGUUUUAUUUUAAUAACAAUUCUGACCAAACGAAUAGUUUUGUGAUAUCAGUCAGAUUCCUCAUCGAAUGUGCUAUACACGAUUACCAGAACCUAUAAGAAGAAUUUAGCUGUGAACAAAGAAGUAACAAGAAAGCCACACCACGUGGCUUUCUUUGCUUGGAUCUCUAUCCCCAGGGAUCACAAUCUCCUCUGCCGGACACGUGCGUCCCAAUCAACCGAAUCGACAUCUGGAAUUUGCACUUCUCGUUUCUUGCCGCGGGGCGAAGAAUUUCGUUUCAACCAGAACCGCAGAGCCCACCAGCGAGCGAAAACCUGUGACCGUUACGAAAAACCUCACUAGGUCGUGGGAAUCCGAUAUCUUCGGACACGGUAACCCCCACUACACGAAAGCGACGCGUCGUGGUCGCAACGAACGGUUCAGACCCUACUUUCAUCGUCUUCCGUAUCAGGGCUCAAGCGAAGCGAGAAGAUCUUCCACUACGAUCACAUCAGUUUGUCGGAUUGAGACACGAACGUCUCGAGGUGCAGGUGCACCGAUAUCGAACGCGCUCAGCGGAGCUAUUUUGUAUGAAUCUGCAGAUCGAGUGGUGCUAAAUCCGCUCGCACUAGGAGACCAGCAUCGUCAAAGGAUCAACAACGGCCGCAACGUCAUUAGGUACCUUAGUAUAAGCCACAGUCACACCCAUAGGUAGAUAGGUUAGGGAGGAAUUCGUUGUAUGGGUACGAAAAGCUCCAAUAAAAUCAUGAAAGUUCAACCUAUUACUCUCAGUGAAAGCUAGUUGUGUUAUGAGUAUCUAUCUUGAGGAGAAUGAUUUUCAAUUUCCAGUCCGUCGCGAUUAUUGAGAGAGUCUUCGUCGGUUCAGAGAUCAGUUGGUCUGAGUAAAACGAGUACGCUUGUUACAGUGGGUUGAAUUUGGGAAUCUGAUAGGCUUGAGAACCUGCCCUGAGUGUCUCUCUCGGGUUAACCGGGCUCGUAAAAACAGUGCUGACAUCCUUGUUAAUCGCAAGGUUGGCGCAUAAGUCAGUGCCGGAAAAAGGCUCUAUUUGGAAACCCCCUCGUUUACAAAGGUUUGAUCGGUGCCUUGUAGUUCCCGAAGUUAGUGUUCUAAGAUGCUUCCAAUGUGGAGAAUUUGGGCACAUGAGUACGGAAUGCAAGAAUAGUAUUGCGUGUUCUAAGUGCAGUGAAGGUCACAAAACAUCUGAUUGCACGUCAACUGCUUUGAAAUGUAUCAAUUGUUUGAAAAUGAAUAAAGAACGUAAAAUGAAUCUGGACGUAAACCACGGAGCAUUUAGUACUGAGUGUAAAGUUUAUAAAAGGUUAUUUGAUCGUAAAAAGAGCAGCUUACGUUUCAAUGAAUAGCAACCAAGUUCCAGUAGAAAUGUGAAUAAUUUAGAUAUUUUGUAUUUGAAUAUUGCUGGU